rnacentral:rRNA from 1 species
AGCUUUAUGUAAAAUAUAUAAAGUAAAACCUGCCCACUGAGAUUUUAUUUGAAUGGCCGCAGUACCUUGACUGUGCUAAGGUAGCAUAAUAAAUUGACUUUUAAUUGAGGUCUUGAAUGAAAGGAACCAUGAAUAAUUACUGUCUUGUUUUAAUUUAUAAUAAGUUACUAAUUAGGUGAAAAUUCCUUAAUUUAAUUUUAAUAGACGAGAAGACCCUAGGAGUUUUAUUUUAUUAAUUUUUGUUGGGGCGACAUUAUAACAUAGUAUUAAACUUAUAAUUUUAAAUUUAAUAUAACGAGAAAUUUUAAUUUAAAUUAAACUACCCUAGGGAUAACAGCAUAAUUUGACUUAAAAGUUUGUGACCUCGAUGUUGGACUAGGGGCAUUUAAAGUUAACAACAUUAAAUGAUAGUUCUGUUCGAACUUUGAUACCUU